rnacentral:misc_RNA from 1 species
UUGAAAGCAUUCAGGCAGUUGCUGCUGGCCUCUUACGAGGCAUGUGCACACUGCUAGAAUUUUUCUAUAUCCACCUGUGCACUUUUUGUAGAAGUUCUUUAGAUUGGCUUUAUAGGUUUCGACCUAGCGAGUUGAUUCAAAAGGCUUCUAUGUUUUACAAACUAGUUAAGCAUGUUUAGAAUGUCUUUUAUUGGGACUUUAUUGACCCUUUAAACUAUA